rnacentral:rRNA from 1 species
GCGUCGGAAGUGUAAUCUUGGGGCUUAACCCUGAGCGUGCUUUCGAUACGGGUUGACUUGAGGAAGGUAGGGGAGAAUGGAAUUCCUGGUGGAGCGGUGGAAUGCGCAGAUAUCAGGAGGAACACCAGUGGCGAAGGCGGUUCUCUGGGCCUUUCCUGACGCUGAGGAGCGAAAGCGUGGGGAGCGAACAGGCUUAGAUACCCUGGUAGUCCACGCUGUAAACGGUGGGUACUAGGUGUGGGGUCCAUUCCACGGGUUCCGUGCCGUAGCUAACGCUUUAAGUACCCCGCCUGGGGAGUACGGCCGCAAGGCUAAAACUCAAAGGAAUUGACGGGGCCCCGCACAAGCGGCGGAGCAUGCGGAUUAAUUCGAUGCAACGCGUAGAACCUUACCUGGGUUUGACAUGGAUCGGGAGUGCUCAGAGAUGGGUGUGCCUCUUUUGGGGUCGGUUCACAGGUGGUGCAUGGCUGUCGUCAGCUCGUGUCGUGAGAUGUUGGGUUAAGUCCCGCAACGAGCGCAACCCUUGUUCACUGUUGCCAGCACGUUAUGGUGGGGACUCAGUGGAGACCGCCGGGGUCAACUCGGAGGAAGGUGGGGAUGACGUCAAGUCAUCAUGCCCCUUAUGUCCAGGGCUUCACGCAUGCUACAAUGGCUGGUACAGAGAGUGGCGAGCCUGUGAGGGUGAGCGAAUCUCGGAAAACCGGUCUCAGUUCGGACUGGGGUCUGCAACUCGACCUCAUGAAGUCGGAG